rnacentral:tRNA from 1 species
UCCUCUGUGGUCCAGUGAUUAAGACACUGUGCUUUGACUGCAGGGUUGCAGGUUUGAUCCCUGUCUGGGAAG